UGGGGGAUUUUCCGCAAUGGGCGAAAGCCUGAUGGAGCAAUGCCGCGUGGAGGUGGAAGGCCUACGGGUCGUCAACUUCUUUUCUCGGAGAAGAAACAAUGACGGUAUCUGAGGAAUAAGCAUCGGCUAACUCUGUGCCGG
rnacentral:rRNA from 1 species